AGAAACAAUGUUCAGCCCAGUAGCAAUGAGCUCCUAGCCCCAGAUUAUGGUCUUUUUAUACUAUUUUCUAGGAAGAGAAACCAGUGCUUUGUGGAAAAAUGGAGGAUUCAAGGCUGAGGCAGGAUGAGUUUGGACUAUUAUUAUCCUAGAAGGCUACAAGAGUUCUGUCAGAAGGACUCAGGAGCUUAUCUGAAGAGCUUCCUGCUGGCUAAAGAAGGGACAGCAAAAGACUUGAGGGGCAUAACAGCCUGUAAUGGAAACUGAAACUACUCUUUAAGCAGUAUCAACCACCUGGACCAGGAGCUCUGGUAACCCAGACCACCCAGACCAGUUUGACUUUCACCCCGACUCACACCUGUGGAGAUGAACCAUCCAGGACCACGGAGUGACCAACAGUCCCUUACCUCAUUAUAAUACUAAAAUCUCCGCCCAAGGAGGAGCACAGCCUCACUUACAUAACAUAGUUACAGUGUCUGUGUAUUUCCUUGAAGGCACCUGUCCCUGCCUUUACAUAUAAUGACAAGACUCCCCUUUUUAAAUAUUCAUCCUAACCCUAAAUAAAAGGAGGCCAUGCUCUAGGAGUCAGAGCUUGGAGGUCAUUCCCUGUGAUCUCCAAGUAAGUUUACUUUGUGUGACAAUUCCUCCUUGGGUAGUUUCUACGUGUGACUCACCAAGGUCCAAACUCACCGUUUGGUUACAACUUGAUUUUUGUUAAGUUAUGAUACACCUAUAUGAAUCCCUGUUUCACACUUUUUUUCUUUUUGAUAGUGCGUUUUUAAUUAUAAAAAUUAUUCAUGUUCAUGGAAAAUGAGUAUACGCAACACGAUAAAGGGGGGAGCUCUCAGAAUUCUCCUACAGAGGGGUAAAUACUGGAAGUUUGGUGGGAAACUUUCAAUAUUUUUUCUUUGCCUACAUGUGAAUAUAUAAUUGUGUUAAUAUUAGAAUCAUAACAUAUAUACCUUUACUUGCUUAAAUUGUAAAUAUUUUAAUUCAACUUUUUAUUGACUGUCUUAAAGAUGUACUAUAAUUUAUUUUAUUAAUUGGCUAUUCUUUCACAUAUUAUAAAUAUAUACAUACAUUUAAGACUUUUGCCUAUUUUUCUAAAUCACCUUCUUCAAAUUUUCAUCCAUAACUCAUAUAUAAGUAGUAUUAAGAAAUGCCUAUUGCUGCAUACUAUCAUCCUUUAAAGAAUGUAUGCCUUUCUGAUAGAUAAAAAUGACUAUCUUUGGUUGCUAUAAUUUGCUUUCCAUUGAUUAAUAGUAACAUUAGGGGCGCCUGGGUGGCUCAGUGGGUUAGGCCUCUGCCUUCGGCUCAGGUCAUGAUCCCAGGGGCCUGGGAUCGAGUCCCACAUGGGGCUCUCUGCUCAGCAGGGAGCCUGCUUCUCCACACCCCCUCUGCCUCUCUGCCUACUUGUGAUCUGUCAAAUAAAUAAAUAAAAUAAAAUAAAAUAAAAAAUAGUAACA
rnacentral:lncRNA from 1 species